rnacentral:lncRNA from 1 species
ACAUCCUCUCAGCUGCACUAAAGAAAAAGCCCUAGCCCCCUCGAAACCUAUUUCCUUAAUCCGCUCCCACCCUCUCCGUCUCUUCCUUGACGAGCUCUCGUCACGGCGAACUCCUCGCCGGCGAGCUCGUCACCGGCGAGCUCCUCACCUAGGGUUAGUGCUUCGCCGCUCCCGAUCCGACCGUCUCGAUCUCCCCGACGCCUCCCUCUUCUCCCAUGGCGGCGGAUCACUCCCUCGGAAGAUCCGCUGUAAGUGAUCGUGCUCUAUUUGUUCCAUUCAUGAGCUCAGAUUUGUGUUUCUACGGUUUCUUCUCAAGCAUUUGUGAUCGAAUGAGGUGUUGAUUGCUUCGUUUUCUCUGGUUUCUUUACUUCGUUGCUCUUUGAUGUAUGGAGACUCUUCGAUCGGUGGUUCUGAUUCUAUUCUUGUUUGAUUGGGUUAUUGAUCGCUUAGAAUAAGUUUUCUUAUCUCGUUACUGUGGAGUUAGGCCCUUUCAUGUCCUUUGGCAUGCUUCUUCGUUACUAAUUGUGCACUUGUCAUCCGAAGGUCUUCCCGAUUUGAAGAAUUUAUUUGAUUAUAUUGAUUUUAUCUCUUGAUUGUUUUACGGUUGAAGGUUUUCGGAGAUGUUUACAUUCUUUGUUUCAUUGAGAACUUCUGUUUGUGUACGAGAGAUUUCUCUAGCUGGUUGAGAUAACGUUUAUUGGAGUGCUAUAUCACAUUUUAUGUGUUAAUUAUUGUAUAUAUUGCAUGUCGGCAGUUCAAUUAGUGUUCCUAACUAUAUCUUGAGAGAAUAAUGCAGGAUUGGUCCUCAAUUUUCUGGCAAUUCAGCAGAAACAUUGGGAUCUUCCUCCUCCAUAUGCAAUGGAUCGUCAGUAUUAUCUGUUGUUUGUUUGUCAGAGAAAUUUAUUUCCCCAUGGUUAGAUUAGUGAAUUAGUGCAAUC